ACAACAGCUUCACUUGUAGAGUCCAACAGAACAACAUCCACCAGACCAGAGAGGCUCACUUUCAUGUUCCAGAUGAUUUUUUCUCAUCUAGUUCUGCUGUUCCCAUCAUCACUGGAUUGGCUGUUAGCUUAGCUGUUAGCAUCAUGGUUAUUUUAGCAUGUGUCUUCUUUGUGUGGAGACAAAAUAGAACCAAAACCAAGAAAAGAUCCAGAGAUGAAGCUGAAAGAGGAGAAAAGCUCCUGACAGAGGA